UGGCUACAGAACGAACGCUGGCGGCAGGCUUAACACGAUGCAAGUCGAACGCCCCGCAAGGGGAGUGGCAGACCGGGUGAGUAACGGCGUGGGAAUCUAACCUAGUUCUACGGAACAACAGUUGGAAACGACUGGACUAAUACCGGUAUACGCCCUACGGGGGAAAGAUUUAUCGGAAUUAGAUGAGCCCGCGUAAGAUUAGCUAGUUGGUGGGGUAAUGGCCUACCAAGGCGACGAUCUUUAGCUGGUCUGAGAGGAUGAUCAGCCACACUGGGACUGAGACACGGCCCAGACUCCUACGGGAGGCAGGCUAGUGGGGAAUAGUUGGACAAUGGGCGCAAGCCUGAUCCCAGCCAUGCCGCGUGAGUGAUGAAGGCCUUAGGGUUGUAAAGCUCUUUCACCCGAUGAAGAUAAUGACGGUAGUCGGAGAAGAAGCCCCGGCUAACUUCGUGCCAGCCGCGGC
rnacentral:rRNA from 1 species